rnacentral:rRNA from 1 species
AGAGUUUGAUCUGGCUCAGAACGAACGCUGGCGGCAGGCUUAACACAUGCAAGUCGAACGCACCCUUCGGGGUGAGUGGCAGACGGGUGAGUAACGCGUGGGAACCUACCCUUUAGUUCGGGACAACCGUUGGAAACGACGGCUAAUACCGGAUACGCCCUACGGGGGAAAGAUUUAUCGCUAAAGGAUGGGCCCGCGUCAGAUUAGCUAGUUGGUGAGGUAAAGGCUCACCAAGGCGACGAUCUGUAGCUGGUCUGAGAGGAUGAUCAGCCACACUGGGACUGAGACACGGCCCAGACUCCUACGGGAGGCAGCAGUGGGGAAUAUUGGACAAUGGGGGCAACCCUGAUCCAGCCAUGCCGCGUGAAUGAUGAAGGUCUUUGGAUUGUAAAAUUCUUUCGCUGGGGAAGAUAAUGACGGUACCCAGUAAAGAAGCUCCGGCUAACUCCGUGCCAGCAGCCGCGGUAAUACGGAGGGGGCUAGCGUUGUUCGGAAUUACUGGGCGUAAAGCGCGCGUAGGCGGAUUGUUAAGUCGGGGGUGAAAUCCCGGGGCCCAACCCCGGAAUUGCCCUCGAUACUGGCAGUCUUGAGCCCGGGAGAGGCGAGUGGAAUUCCGAGUGUAGAGGUGAGAUUCGUAGAUAUUCGGAGGAACACCAGUGGCGAAGGCGACUCGCUGGACCGGUGCUGACGCUGAGGCGCU